rnacentral:rRNA from 1 species
GAACGCUGGCGGCAGGCCUAACACAUGCAAGUCGAGCGGUAGAGAGGUGCUUGCAUCUCUUGAGAGCGGCGGACGGGUGAGUAAUGCCUAGGAAUCUGCCUAGUGGUGGGGGAUAACGUUCGGAAACGGACGCUAAUACCGCAUACGUCCUACGGGAGAAAGCGGGGGAUCUUCGGACCUCGCGCCAUUAGAUGAGCCUAGGUCGGAUUAGCUAGUUGGUGAGGUAAUGGCUCACCAAGGCGACGAUCCGUAACUGGUCUGAGAGGAUGAUCAGUCACACUGGAACUGAGACACGGUCAGACUCCUACGGGAGGCAGCAGUGGGGAAUAUUGGACAAUGGGCGAAAGCCUGAUCCAGCCAUGCCGCGUGUGUGAAGAAGGUCUUCGGAUUGUAAAGCACUUUAAGUUGGGAGGAAGGGUAGUAACCUAAUACGUUGCUACUUUGACGUUACCGACAGAAUAAGCACCGGCUAACUUCGUG